rnacentral:sRNA from 1 species
UUAAAGUCAAUCCCCAAUAUUAUCUAUGUUAAUAUUUUUGAAAUACAUAUUUGUUGUUUUAAUUGAGUCGUUUUCUAAUUUUUGCACCUAAACAUUCAAUCGAAUCUU